UACGGGGGGAGCAAGCGUUGUUCGGAUUUACUGGGCGUAAAGGGCGCGUAGGCGGUCGUGACAAGUCACUUGUGAAAUCUCCGGGCUUAACUCGGAACGGUCAAGUGAUACUGUCGGACUAGAGUACAGAAGGGGCAACUGGAAUUCUCGGUGUAGCGGUGAAAUGCGUAGAUAUCGGAAGGAACGCCGGUGGCGAAAGCGGCGUGCUGGACCCCUCCUGACGCUGAGGCGCGAAAGCCAGGGGAGCGAACGGG
rnacentral:rRNA from 1 species